rnacentral:rRNA from 1 species
GAUGAACGCUGACAGAAUGCUUAACACAUGCAAGUCAACUUGAAUUUGGGUUUUUAACUUAGGUUUGGGUGGCGGACGGGUGAGUAACGCGUAAAGAACUUGCCUCACAGCUAGGGACAACAUUUGGAAACGAAUGCUAAUACCUAAUAUUAUGAUAAUAGGGCAUCCUAUAAUUAUGAAAGCUAUAAGCGCUGUGAGAGAGCUUUGCGUCCCAUUAGCUAGUUGGAGAGGUAACGGCUCACCAAGGCGAUGAUGGGUAGCCGGCCUGAGAGGGUGAUCGGCCAUAAGGGGACUGAGACACGGCCCUUACUCCUACGGGAGGCAGCAGUGGGGAAUAUUGGACAAUGGACCGAGAGUCUGAUCCAGCAAUUCUGUGUGCACGAUGAAGUUUUUCGGAAUGUAAAGUGCUUUCAGUUGGGAAGAAACAAAUGACGGUACCAACAGAAGAAGUGACGGCUAAAUACGUG